AAAACCCUCAAACGGCAAACGGCUAGAGGUCACGUGACAGGGCCUUGACGUCACGUUUGUCGUUAUCAACUCGUGUUUUUCAACGUCGAGAGACUGAUUUUCGCGUAAGUGAUUUACCUGAAGAGUUUUGAGUUUAAAAGUUAUGUUUGUGUCUCGUAAAAACACGAAAUUGAUAUGGAGAAAUUCUUUUUCUGCAAGUUUAGCCUUAAUUUUGGGGGAGAAGGAAAAUGAGGAGCAUUUUGUCGUCGUUUGAAAAGCACCACUGCUCACGUUUGUUAAAUUCAAUAUGGCGGCCGCUAGCAUGCUUUUGCAGUAUAUAACGAUGUCAUGGAUAUUUCACUCCUCGGUGGAUUCUGUGUACCACCUAAUACCUUGUUUACCUUAAAGAUGUCUUCGAUGAUUUUCAAUGCAUGGGCAGAUUUUCUUGGAUAAGCCAAGCUUAAUUUAGACUUUAUAAUGUUAAAAUUUCAGAGUAUAAUUUAGUCUUACGAAUGGCUCCCUUUCGUUGGCCUGAGGUCCGCCACGACCUGGCAUUGGCCACCGAGGUCGCAAAAUGUUUUACAGAGAGGCCACAGGAAUGGGAAGAUUUAGCCAAACGACAAGGCCAAGCGUUUUCUACCGAAACAAAGCAAGUUGAACUUAAAGGAAGAGGUUGCAGAGAACGGUGGACCGAUUACUUGACAGAUAUCAAAGUGAAGACGCCAAGGCCUUGAAAAGAACAUUGCAGUGAAAAGUCUGCCCAGUCAUCUGAAGAGGAUUCAAGUGCUAGAAGUGGGUCAGAUGAUGAACAGAAAACUCCUUUUAAAGAUUCAAAGAAGAAGAAGAAAGUCCAACGACGAGCUAGUAAAAUGUCUCCUAUGGAAAUGUUGCCAGAUAAAUACUCACAGAAGGCAGAGAUUAAGAGAGAUAAGCUUGAGAUACGUAGAAUGCAGCUGGAGUUUGCCAAAGAAAAACAUGCUGCUGAGGCGGAGGAGAGGAAAGCAAAAAUGGAGCUGGAAAUUGAAGAGAGAAGGGCAAUUCUGUCUCUCUUAAAAGGUCGGCUGUAAAAGAAAAACCUUUUGUGAGAGAACAUCAUGUUUCCAGUACUAUAUUAUUCAUGGCGCUGUUUUAUAUUUGAUAUUCCCUUGUUUAUUUCAUUUUGAACAAUGUAUUAAGAACACAACAUUGGACAUGAUACACUUUAUUUGCUUUGGCUUCUUUACAUUAUUGUUUAUCAGUCAUGUCAAACUAUUACAUUUAUUUGUCACUCUAGUAUGAAAUCCAGUGCAUCACUGGUUUGACAAAUAUGUUUCAAGAGAUGGUAGAUCUAGAUUAAAGUAGGUGCUUGUUUGGGAACCGUAUAGGAAUGUAUGACAGUUCACCAAAAUAGAAGCAACCAAGUAGUACUUUCCAACCGGUUGAAGCAAAACCUUGAGGUUUUUCUUAAAAUCUAAAUAAGCAAAGUUUUGAAAUAUUUUGCCAAAGUCCCAUUCAACACUUGCUCUAACUCUACUCAUUUGAGUGCUAAAUGUCUGCUCGUCAUUUGUCAGUUUUGCUCCACAAAAUGGUGAUAUUAUAUUGUAAGCUAGGCCAUAUUCAGGGUCACCAUAUAUGACAUGUUUCCCCUGUUGGUGUCUGAAAUCUUCUGAGUUUAUUGGCAAGACCACUGACCCCAAGCAUACAGGCAUCAUGCCUUCUUCCCUCUAUGGGGCCAAACAUGUGAGCGAUGAGGCCAUUGGGAGCUUGGACUGACUGAAAAUAAAAUAUGUAUAUGUAUUGGUAU